GACGAACGCUGGCGGCGUGCCUAAUACAUGCAAGUCGAACGCUUCUUUCCUCCCGAGUGCCUGCACUCAAUUGGAAAGAGGAGUGGCAGACGGGUGAGUAACGCGUGGGCAACCUACUUCUUACAAAGGGAUAGCCAUGGGAAACCGUGAUUAAUACCAUAUGAUACGAUAACAAGGCAUCUUGAGAUUGUUAGAGCUCCGGCGGUAAGAGAUGGGCUCGCGUCCCAUUAGCUAGUUGGUGAGGGUAACGGCCCACCAAGGCGACGAUGGGUAACCGGCCUGAGAGGGUGAGCGGUCACAUUGGAACUGAGACACGGUCCAA
rnacentral:rRNA from 1 species